rnacentral:rRNA from 1 species
CCUACGGGUGGCAGCAGUCGAGAAUCAUUCACAAUGGGGGAAACCCUGAUGGUGCGACGCCGCGUGGGGGAAUGAAGGUUUUCGGAUUGUAAACCCCUGUCAUGUGGGAGCAAAUUAAAAAGAUAGUACCACAAGAGGAAGCGACGGCUAACUCUGUGCCAGCAGCCGCGGUAAUACAGAGGUCUCAAGCGUUGUUCGGAAUCAGUGGGCGUAUAGCGUGCGUGGGCUGUUUCGUAAUUCGUGUGUGAAAGGCGCGGGCCAAACCCGCGGACGGCAAAUGAUACUGCGAAACUAGAGUAAUGGAGGGGGAACUGGAAUGUUCGGUGUAGCAGUGAAAUGCGUAGAUA